rnacentral:misc_RNA from 1 species
AACGCACAUUGCGCCCUUUGGUAUUCCGAAGGGCAUGCCUGUCUGAGCGUCAAUAAAUCAAUCAAACCUUGGUUUGGUAUUGGGAGAAGAGGUUUUUGCCUCUCUCCUUUAAGUUAUUGGCGACGCUAUUUCAGCUUGUAAGACGUAGUAAGUAAUUUCUCGUUAAAGCAACUGUAUGGCUGUCUGCCAAAUGAACGAUUUAUUUUACAGCUUGACCUCAGAUCAGGUAGGGAUACCCCCUGAACUUAA